AGCAGUCGCCGCGGGAAUACGAAGGGUGCAAGCGUUACUCGGAAUUACUGGGCGUAAAGCGUGCGUAGGUGGUGGUUUAAGUCCGUUGUGAAAGCCCUGGGCUCAACCUGGGAAUUGCAGUGGAUACUGGGUCACUAGAGUGUGGUAGAGGAUAGUGGAAUUUCCGGUGUAGCAGUGAAAUGCGUAGAGAUCGGAAGGAACAUCUGUGGCGAAGGCGACUAUCUGGGCCAACACUGACACUGAGGCACGAAAGCGUGGGGAGCAAACAGGAUUAGAGACCCGCGUAGUCCCUGUCUCUUAUAC
rnacentral:rRNA from 1 species